rnacentral:rRNA from 1 species
UGGGGAAUUUUGGACAAUGGGGGCAACCCUGAUCCAGCAAUGCCGCGUGAGUGAAGAAGGCCUUCGGGUUGUAAAGCUCUUUUGUCAGGGAAGAAACGGUAGUAGCGAAUAACUACUACUAAUGACGGUACCUGAAGAAUAAGCACCGGCUAACUACGUGCCAGCAGCCGCGGUAAUACGUAGGGUGCAAGCGUUAAUCGGAAUUACUGGGCGUAAAGCGUGCGCAGGCGGUUGUGUAAGUCAGAUGUGAAAUCCCCGGGCUCAACCUGGGAAUUGCAUUUGAGACUGCACGGCUAGAGUGUGUCAGAGGGGGGUAGAAUUCCACGUGUAGCAGUGAAAUGCGUAGAUAUGUGGAGGAAUACCGAUGGCGAAGGCAGCCCCCUGGGAUAACACUGACGCUCAUGCACGAAAGCGUGGGGAGCAAACAGGAUUAGAUACCCACGUAGUCCCUGAGCGGGCUGGCAAGGCGCAU